GCUUCAACCAGCGCACUUGAAACGCUUUGAAUGAGGCAUUCUUUAAUAAAUGCAACCGAAUUAAAAAAUUAAAUAGUUGAUAACAAACUGUGAAAAGAAAAAAAAAAACCUCACCUUCGAAAUUUUCCAGCAUACUCCGGACAUCUUCCUUUAGCCGAGUGUUGUAUGACUUCAGGAGUGCUUCCUUCGACUGUGUAAGGUUGCGCUGCAUGUUGAAGAUUGAUCAAGGGCUUCGAGGUCAAUUAAUCACUCGAGAAAUGUAGAAAAACCAAUGAAAAAGACCAAUUUUUGAUAACUUGUGGCUUGCGGCUAGCGCGCACGAAGUAUUCGGGCUUGAUUUCUUCCUUCUCAACCCGCUGAUUUCGAACUGAAGAAUCGAGUGAUUGAGGAGAAGAUCCGAGAGGCCAUCGCAGAUCCGGUGGAACAAAUAUGAACACAGAUCGGGUGUGGCAACGGGGGCAACUGGAAAUAAUAAUAUCCGAGAACAAUAAAAAAAAGGUCCGUCUCAGCUGUAGAAAAAUGCUGCUCAGCAAGGCUCAUCGAAAAACGUCUGGAACUUUUCAUCACCUACAGCUCAGCAGAAGUCAAAUUGAGAAGGGAUCUGGCUACAGGGUUCCGGUCGGCAUACUGAUCACCGUAGAGAGGGCCACCAACAAAAAUAGACUGGCGGAUCCAUGUCCAUUAUCAAUCUUGUCAUGAUCAUUUUCUAAGAGGUGAGGUUCCAGGUGUUGGUUAGAUAGAUAAUCCGUCUCGAUAUAAACAAAGCAACGCCAGCUUCUAUUAGUCCUGGAGUUCUGGAUCUGUUCCAUGAACUGGCUAUGUAAGUAUGGGAAGAGCUGUUCCGGAAAAUUUUCAACGGAAGUACGAGGGCGAAGCGAGCUAUGAUUAUUUUGAACUUGGAGUAAAAACAUCGAUUUACAUUUUCGCCAACAUCCCUCCUAAAUGGGAAUUUCAGAUCGAACCACGAUGCAAAGGAAACCAUUUCGAACGAAAUUUAAUUGUUAUUGCGUCUCAACAUGUAUUAUCAGAAUCAAUUGUGUAUAUUACGUUUCAUGUUUCCCAUGCUUAA